UACUAAGGAAUAUGGAUUCAAUUUUCCAGCCAUCAUUAAGUCGACCAGCUUCUUUUUCUCUCUGAGGAGAAUGGUCCUAUGCCUGGGGCGUUAGCCCAGGGCUUGGGAGACCAGACGGCUCCACUACUGACACAAAAGGUGCUGGCUUCAGCCACUGAUUGCAGGUUUGAACACAAACAACGGGCCCCCACUGUGAGAAAUAUUCUGCAGCCACUGCCCGUUGCACAGCAGAGCUACACAGCCCCAGAAGCGGCGCUCUGAGGCUCAGGUGGAACAGCUCCAACAGCAGAGACUGACCUCCUGUGUGACAGAGGCCAGAGGACUUCCCUGUAGCAGUUAUGAGAUGCACCAGGGGCUGCUGCCCACGUGGAAGGCACUGGGACCCAGGAGCAGAGUGGACAUGUCCAGGAAGGAGACAGGCCAUGGGAAAGACAGUGGUUUGGGAUUUGGGCUGCCUGGGAUCACUGCUCUGCUCUGCUACAGAG